GCAGCAGGGCAGGAGAUCCAAGACUCCCCACGGGAAUCUCAGUUGCCUGCURUAAACACAACACCAUCCUUCCUCCCUUAAAACACAUAAAGAGAGAAUGCUAUGCUCACUCACCGUAGAAAUGGGACAUAAAUAACGUUUAAAACACUAAAUAAAAAAAGCAAGUUAUUUCAUAUUUUCUUAAUUUUCCCCUCACUUCUCCAUGCUCAUUACUAAUUAUUUUAGUUUUUUUUUUCCUCUAGUCUUACUUUAAAAAGUUAAACUGGGAAAAAGGUUCUCUAUUCAGCGUCAUUCAACAUCAAGCUUUUGUGGUAAUUGGUAAUGCUACUUGUGAUCAAGUUAAUCUUUUGAAGUCUUUUCCUGAAGCCUCUUGUAGGAAAACGUGUUAUUUCGAAGUAUUCCUUUUGCCAUAAGAUAUUUCUUCCUCUCCUCCAGUAACACAGAUUUAUAAAGGAACCCCAAACACUGGAUUAGUAUUCUACAGGUGCAGCACCUCCAAAAAAGAGGUGAAAUAUGGUCAUUCUCUAGCACAGAAGAUAAUCUUCCAGUACACAAUUCCAGUGAAAGUCAUCCUGCCCCACAGCCAUGCAAAUGUUCUGACAUACAAAUGUUCAUUGCCGCCUAUUACAUUCCUCUGCUGA
rnacentral:lncRNA from 1 species